GUAAAUUUUUCUGAAACGUGUUUUUUGAAAACAGGAACCAAGCAAAGUGAAUGUUUUUUUGUUUUAGGCAAUAGUGGUAUACAAAGUUGUGGUUGUAGGAUUGCUAAAAAAUUUCACAUUUCUGCUUGUUUGAGAUGAAUUUUGCCUUGGUUUUGUACCCGUCCCCUUUUUGUUCAUUUCCCCACUGUUCCACAUUUCAGUUUCUUUGGGAUCAAUUCUAUCUGUAUUGUGUUUAUUUUGUUACUGCAAAAUGUGUUGUUAUCCAGUCCAUAAGAUCUGCAAAUAUGUUGCUACACAUUUAUUCUUUCAAUUUUUUUGGUUGUUGCUAUGCAUACCCUAUUUCUGUUCUUAGCUGCAUGUAUAGUAUUUUUUUGUUGUCUAUGAUCUGCAAUUCUUCUCCACUUGUUUGACACCAUAUGUUGUCUGUUUACAAUCUGUGUUUGAGAAAAUGGCUAUAGCCUGGGAUUUGUUCAUUAUAUCUGUAAUGCAUAUCCCAUUUGUGACAUAAAUGGUUUGUUUAUUAUAUCUGUAAUGCUUGGCUUGUUUGUAUAAAUAUUUGUACGUUGGUUCCCAUUCUAAGACGUUAUUAAAGGCACAUGGCAUCACAUCGAUCUGCACCUCAUACCCCUUCUGGCAAAGGGAAAUGACAACAAGCCUAUCAUAAAGCAAUUGGGAUGGGGACUCAACACAGAUAUUCUUGGAACUUGUCCUUAAGGAAAUAGAUAUAGGGAACUGGCUGCAUAUGUCAAUCACUCCAAAAAGGUACCGCUCGUUGUCAAAGACUUUCGAGGCAGCAAUUGGAAGGCUUCAUGAGCCGAAACAACUGAAAAACAAGUACAACUUAUUGAAGAGUGAAUGACAUGCAUGUUCGAAGCUUCUUGAUUGCCAGAAAGGGCCAACUGGAAUUGGCUUUGACCAAGCAACUGACAAGUUCAAUGCGUCGCCCGAAUGGUGGGCUAAAAUGGUGAAGAUUGACAAAGAAUGUUACAAGUUUAGGACUAAAACCUUAGACCAUCCGGAUUUGAUGCUGCGCAUCUUCACUGGGGCAACGACAAC